UACGUAGGGUGCAAGCGUUGUCCGGAAUUAUUGGGCGUAAAGAGCUCGUAGGCGGUCUGUCGCGUCGGCUGUGAAAACCCGAGGCUCAACCUCGGGCCUGCAGUCGAUACGGGCAAACUAGAGUACUGCAGGGGAGACUGGAAUUCCUGGUGUAGCGGUGAAAUGCGCAGAUAUCAGGAGGAACACCGGUGGCGAAGGCGGGUCUCUGGGCAGUAACUGACGCUGAGGCACGAAGGUCAGGGGAGCAAACGGG
rnacentral:rRNA from 1 species